GCACUUCCUUCAACAAUACAUAUAAUGAAAUCAGAAUGAUACAGAGAAAUUAACAUAGCACCUGUGCAAGGAUGACAAAAAAAUUUGUGAUUUGAUCCAUAAAAAU
rnacentral:snRNA from 1 species